CCCUUAGAUGUUCUGGGCCGCACGCGCGCUACACUGAUGCAUUCAACGAGUUUCUUCCCGGUCCGAGAGGAAUGGGUAACCUUUUGAAAGUGCAUCGUGAUGGGGAUAGACUAUUGCAAUUAUUGGUCUUCAACGAGGAAUUCCUAGUAGACGUAGUUCAUCAGACUGCAUCGAUUACGUCCCUGCCCUUUGUACACACCGCCCGUCGCUCCUACCGAUUGAAUGCUCAGGUGAGCCAUUCGGACUUUCAUCAUGCUGGUUUCCAGUUUUGAUGAAGGAAAGUCUUGCGAACCUUAUCAUUUAGAGGAAGGAGAAGUCGUAACA
rnacentral:rRNA from 1 species